UUAAAGAAAGCGUAAUAGCUCACUGGUCGAGUCGGCCUGCGCGGAAGAUGUAACGGGGCUAAACCAUGCACCGAAGCUGCGGCAGCGACACUAUGUGUUGUUGGGUAGGGGAGCGUUCUGUAAGCCUGCGAAGGUGUGCUGUGAGGCAUGCUGGAGGUAUCAGAAGUGCGAAUGCUGACAUAAGUAACGAUAAAGCGGGUGAAAAGCCCGCUCGCCGGAAGACCAAGGGUUCCUGUCCAACGUUAAUCGGGGCAGGGUGAGUCGACCCCUAAGGCGAGGCCGAA
rnacentral:rRNA from 1 species